rnacentral:rRNA from 1 species
AACGCUAGCUACAGGCUUAACACAUGCAAGUCGAGGGGAAACGAUAUUGGAAGCUUGCUUCCGAUAGGCGUCGACCGGCGCACGGGUGAGUAACGCGUAUCCAACCUGCCCACCACUUGGGAAUAACCUUGCGAAAGUAAGACUAAUACCCAAUGACGUCUCUAGAAGACAUCUGAAGGAGAUUAAAGAUUUAUCGGUGAUGGAUGGGGAUGCGUCUGAUUAGCUUGUUGGCGGGGUAACGGCCCACCAAGGCGACGAUCAGUAGGGGUUCUGAGAGGAAGGUCCCCCACAUUGGAACUGAGACACGGUCCAAACUCCUACGGGAGGCAGCAGUGAGGAAUAUUGGUCAAUGGGCGAGAGCCUGAACCAGCCAAGUAGCGUGCAGGAUGACGGCCCUAUGGGUUGUAAACUGCUUUUAUAAGGGAAUAAAGUGAGCCUCGUGAGGCUUUUUGCAUGUACCUUAUGAAUAAGGACCGGCUAAUUCCGUGCCAGCAGCCGCGGUAAUACGGAAGGUCCGGGCGUUAUCCGGAUUUAUUGGGUUUAAAGGGAGCGUAGGCCGGAGAUUAAGCGUGUUGUGAAAUGUAGAUGCUCAACAUCUGCACUGCAGCGCGAACUGGUUUCCUUGAGUACGCACAAAGUGGGCGGAAUUCGUGGUGUAGCGGUGAAAUGCUUAGAUAUCACGAAGAACUCCGAUUG